CAGAACUGCAGUACCAAAGCAUAAAUAAACAGAGAAAAGGAUGGGAAAGGGAGCUUUCCUCCUGGGCACUGACUGAUCUGGGGGCUGGAAUAUACACCAAAGGGACAGUUCACAGUCUGCACUUUCUUGUUAGUAUGGAAAGUCUGAGAGACAUAACCCUGGGACCGUGCAUUUCAUACCUCAUUGGAGACCUAUGCAUACAAUGGUCUUCCAUGAACAACUAUUUCACAAUACAGUCAUGCCAAUACUGCCUACUACAUGAGGACAACAGAGUUCUCAGUUACAAUGCAAUUAAAAAGACCCCUUUAAAAUCUAAAUAUUGGUCCACUUGAAAUGUGAUUUUGCACUGAAGAAUUGAUAUGAUCGAAACAAUUCUAGAGUCAUGUAAUAUAAUAGUGUAAAAAUAAUGCAAAGCAAUGUAACAGUAAGGGCUUAUUAUAAAAUACGACAUGAAGUCUGUUAUUUAGAACUUCCAAAAGCUGUAUCUGCAUUUAAUUUCAUUUUCCUUUUAGAAUGAACAUAAUGAGUACAGCUAUGUCAGUUUUUCAGUAUUCAUAUCUUCACUGGGGCCCUUAGAAACUGCUGCUCAGUGACGCAGACACUGCACAGGAAAGGGAACCCUACCACACAGCAAAUUACAGCGUUAAUUCUUAUGCAGUUAUCUCUCUCUAUCAGCAGAAAUUAAUACACUGCCUUCCAAAAAGUAAAUAUUACCACUCCAAAAUUAUUUGUGAAUUAGCACCAUAAGGCCUCUCCCUGCUCCACCCGUUUUCACUCCUUCUGACCCCAGUCAGCAAUGGGGCAGUGUCAGAGGGGAUGCUACUCUGCUGUACAUCAGCUCGGGGCUCAGUUACACUAAAGCAUUGCUCAGGUGGACAGGUAAAGCCUUUUAUGCAUACCACCAAGUGAAUAUAAGAAAAUGGGAGGUCCCUAACUCUGUAUUUAAAAUUAAACAAGUUUUUAGCAGGGUAACUCACGGUAAUCAUGUUACAGUCACUAUAUAAAUAUUAGUUAAUUUCUCAGCUUUAGAAGUACAUCAUUUUCCCAAAACAUUUACUCUACUAUAAUACCAUAUAUACUCAUGGGAAUCAUGCAAUAACUAAGCAUAUAAAUGAACAAGUUACUAAAUUAAACUUUAUUUUUGUCAAUUUCCUAAUUUAUUUUAUUUUAUUACAGCUUAUGGAUGAAAUCCACACACUGAGGUCUAACCUGUAAUGAAAGCCAAUGUUUCGACCUUUCAAUAGAGAGCUGAUUUUGGAGAAUGGCUUACUCCUGUGAUUGAAAAACUCUCUCUGGAAGGUUGAUGGAGCAUGAGCAUGAUAUACAGAUUUCUUCUGGCAUUUUUGGAGUGUAAUACUUUAUUUGUCAACCUCACAGUCUUCUGACCUGAAAAUGAUCGUUCAAAAUGCUAUUCAAAUUUUCUUGUUUGUUUUGUUUUUAGAUUAAUAUAACUUAUGUUGCUGACCCACUUUCCAUUAUGUAAAAAACCUGAACAGAAUUUGUCAUUGAGGUAGGAAUUCAUGAAGGCUAACACUAGAGGGCAAUUCAAAGCAGCAGUUUACCCCAGAACAGUUAUGGGUGCCUGUCGCCCUGUCUUGAAAAAAGAGGGAGCCUAGGGAGACUUUCCCAGGGUCUCCCCCAGACAAAAGCUGGUCUUUGUGAUGACCCUUCUAAAUCAUUUAUUUAACUGGCUUUUCAUAUCCUUGAGUGCUCCACUGAAUGAGGAGGAAGUUAAGCCAGUUCGUAUGCUUUGCUGAAUUAGAAGUUAAGAAACAUCUUCCACAGUGUCUUACCUCGCUCACUCUUGCCACUGUCAGAAAGGCGUAGCUUAUUCAGUGGUGGGUUUUGUUUGUUUUUAAUUUACUCUCAUGUGCUACCUUGAACCCUUUCUCUGAAAGGUACCGGGGUUUGGGAGGUAAGGUAACAUUGCACUGAAACUUAAAUGCCUUUAAGUAUCAAGGCAAAUGGAAUAUAUGGUCAGUAAAAAAUAUUCUUAAAAAAUACUGCAAAGUUAUGCAAAUUAAUAAGACAGUAUAAAUCAUUCAUAUCAUUUAAAAAAAAAAACAACCCCAAAACCAAACCACACCACAGAGUAACACAUCAGACAGGUACUGUGUAUCCAUAACUUUAUCAAGGAAAAUAUAUCUAAUGUAAAAAAAAUGUAGCUGAAGUAAGAUAAGCAAUCAGGUGCUGUAUUUAGCAUUUAACUGAGGAGGAGAGAUCAUCUGUGUAUAUUGUGCACAAUUUAAACAAUUUAUAUAACAGUGCAUUACAUAAUAAAUUACAGUUUUCAUGGUUGUAAUGUUCAUUAUAGAUUUACAGAACAUCAUGAAUGCUUGUAAAUAAUAACCUGUAAUGCAAAUGGUGAUGUCAUCGUUCUUGAAAAGCACUCAAGAAUUCUUAUUUUAGCAAUGCAAAUUCUCUCAUUAUAUUGAAAUGUACACACCCAGCCAUGUAAAUGCUUGUGCCA